CACCCCCCUUUCACUUUGCCAAUUGGACUUCAUGUCUUCAUUGGCCAUUCAAGUGGGGCAAAGGAAAUAACCUUUUAAAACUCAGGCAAACUUAAGUGUUUGUCUGGAACCUGUCAGGGGAAACAUUG
rnacentral:snoRNA from 1 species